rnacentral:misc_RNA from 1 species
GUGUAUACACUAACGUAUCUCGUUAAACACAUAGAAAGUGAAAAAUAUUUACAUAUAUCCACACAUUCAUACACACACACACACACACACGUUUCCUCUGUUUGAUGUCACCAUGUGGAAUUUCUCCUAUCAGUGUCGAGAUUUCCAUCAACUGAAUUUGACAUCAGCACAGAUUUGUACGUUCAUCAAGAACGUCUCAGCUUGUCAUGACAAUUCUGCCUGGUUUCCAUACAAUGAACUUCUCUACUGUCAGUUUGCAGACUACAUCGGUUGGGGAGCCUUCCUCUUGGUUCUCUGGUGGUUGUUGUUGUUCUUGUUUUUGAUGAUCACUUCUGACCAAUUUUUGUGUCAGUCAUUGCAAGUAAUUACACAAACUUUACACCUGUCUCAGAAUAUUGCCGGUGUCACCUUUCUGGCAUUUGGAAAUGGUGCCCCAGACAUAUUUUCUUCCAUUGCAGCUGUGAAAAACGCCAAACAUGGCGAUGCCAGUUUAGCGUUUGGUGCCUUAUUUGGUGCUGGUCUGUUUGUCACAACAGUCGUUGCUGGGAUCAUUUCAAUAAUAAAACCCUUCAAAUUAAUGGAAAGACCCUUCCUAAGAGAUGUCAUCUUCUACAUGGUAACACUGUUUUUUGCCUUUUAUGUUCUCUGGAAAAAAACCAUCACAAAAUUUGAAUGCAUUGGUUUCAUCCUGCUCUACGUAACGUACACCUGUAUCGUCAUCAUCAGCCGCUACAUCUACGUUUGGCUGAAAAAGGAGGAGAAAUGUCCAUUACUUGACUCCGAUGAUUCCUCAACCCAGUCUGAAAACUCAGAGAAAAACAUCAAAGAGUUCUGUAAAGCUGUCAACAAUACAGAAAUAAGUGGGAGCACUAGUGAUAAGGAAGAACUCCUCAGUGAUGAUGAAGAUCAUAACUGUUUCCAAGAUUUUCUCAGGGCUAUAAACCCCAUGGAAUAUUGUGACUACGCAGAGGCUCCGUGGUACUGGAAAGCUUUUUACAUUAUAAAGGCUCCUUUGUUAUUUAUUCAACUCCUGACCAUUCCCCUAAUAAGUUACGAAAGACCUAACAAGGGAUGGAACCGGCAUUUAAAUUCCUUGCAUCUCAUCACAGGAUCCUUGUUCUUUGUGUUGGCCACUAAUCUCCAUCACUCAUACAUCGGUCAUCUGCCAGUGCUGGUCUUAGCACUGCUGAUCGGGUCCGUCCUGGCAGCCAUCGUUUUCUUCACGUCUUCCUAUACACCCCCAAACUAUUACCCAGCUUUUAGUUUCCUCAGCUUUCUGAUGUCUGUCUUGUGGAUCUACAUAGUGGCAAAUGAGGUCGUCAACCUGUUGAUAACGUUUGGUAUUGUGUUCAACAUGAGUAAUGUCGUUGUCGGUGUAACAUUUCUGGCCUGGGGCAACAGUUUGGGUGAUCUGAUCACUGACAUCACCAUCGCCAAGAACAACAACCCUCGAACUGGUAUCUCAGCCGUGUAUGGAGGACAAAUGUUCAAUCUCGUUUUAGGAAUUGGAAUUCCUUUUGCAAUUUCCACUUGGUCAACACAGGAAGAUUUUAAACUGGUUGUUACCUUGAAAGACUUCAUGCUUGCCGCUUUCCUCGCCUUCACUUUGGUCUCUACCUUCAUUUCAAUGCCAAUUCUCAAGUUCAAGAUGAAUCGUUAUUUCGGAUGUUACCUUCUGGUUCUUUAUGGAUUAUUCAGUGUGAUCACCUUGUUGAUUGAGGUUUCAGUGAUACCAACACCUGUGAUAAAUUGAUACUUUGUCCUGUUUUCCCUGAUUGCAUGUGUGUGUGUGUGUGUGUGUGUGUGUGUGUGUGUGUGUAUGU